rnacentral:rRNA from 1 species
GACGCUGGCGGAUGCUAACACAUGCAAGUCGAACGGAAACGAAACUAGCUUGGUAGUUGGCGUCAAGUGGCGGACGGGUGAGUAACGCGUAGGAAUCUACCUAGUAGUGGGGGAUAGCCCGAACAAAUUCGGAUUAAUACCGCAUAAUCUAUUCGUAGUAAAGUGGGGGACUUUCGAGCCUCACGCUAUUAGAUGAGCCUGCGUAAGAUUAGCUUGUUGGUAGGGUAAAAGCCUACCAAGGCUACGAUCUUUAGCUGGUCUGAGAGGAUGAUCAGCCACAUCGGGACUGAGACACGGACCGAACUCCUACGGGAGGCAGCANUGGGGAAUAUUGGACAAUGGGGGCAACCCUGAUCCAGCAAUACCGCGUGUGUGAAGAAGGCUUGAGGGUUGUAAAGCACUUUCAAUUGUGAAGAAAAGUUAACGGUUAAUAACCGUUAGCCUUGACGUUAACUUUAGAAGAAGCACCGGCUAACUCCGUGCCAGCAUCCGCGGUAAUACGGAGGGUGCAAGCGUUAAUCGGAAUUACUG